CUUUGGGAUAAGCCUGGGAAACUGGGUCUAAUACCGAAUAUGACCAUGCGCCUCCUGGUGUGUGGUGGAAAGCUUUUGCGGUGUGGGAUGGGCCCGCGGCCUAUCAGCUUGUUGGUGGGGUAAUGGCCUACCAAGGCGACGACGGGUAGCCGACCUGAGAGGGUGAUCGGCNNNACUGGGACUGAGACACGGCCCAGACUCCUACGGGAGGCAGCAGUGGGGAAUAUUGCACAAUGGGCGCAAGCCUGAUGCAGCGACGCCGCGUGAGGGAUGACGGCCUUCGGGUUGUAAACCUCUUUCACCAGGGACGAAGCGGAAGUGACGGUACCUGGAGAAGAAGCACCGGCCAACUACGUGCCAGCAGCCGCGGUAAUACGUAGGGUGCGAGCGUUGUCCGGAAUUACUGGGCGUAAAGAGCUCGUAGGCGGUUUGUCGCGUCGUCUGUGAAAUUCUGCAACUCAAUUGCAGGCGUGCAGGCGAUACGGGCAGACUUGAGUACUACAGGGGAGACUGGAAUUCCUGGUGUAGCGGUGAAAUGCGCAGAUAUCAGGAGGAACACCGGUGGCGAAGGCNNNUCUCUGGGUAGUAACUGACGCUGAGGAGCGAAAGCGUGGGUAGCG
rnacentral:rRNA from 1 species